rnacentral:rRNA from 1 species
CACGUAGGGGGCAAGCGUUGUCCGGAUUUAUUGGGCGUAAAGAGCUCGUAGGUGGUUCGGUAAGUCGGGUGUUAAACCCCCAGGCUCAACCUGGGGACGCCACUCGAUACUGCUGUGACUAGAGUCCGGUAGGGGAGCGUGGAAUUCCUGGUGUAGCGGUGAAAUGCGCAGAUAUCAGGAGGAACACCAAUAGCGAAGGCAGCUCGCUGGGACGGUACUGACGCUAAGGCGCGAAAGCGUGGGGAGCGAACAGG